rnacentral:sRNA from 1 species
UUUAAACGAUCUUCCAUUAAGAACCGUCACGUCCUGUGACGAACAUGGAAGUCAGAAUAUCUGUUCA